UUGGGAAUCUUGCGCACUGGGCGAAAGCCUGACGCAGCCAUGCCGCGUGCAUGAUGAAGGUCUUAGGAUUGUAAAAUUCUUUCACCGGGGACGAUAAUGACGGUACCCGGAGAAGACGCCCCGGCUAACUUCGUGCCAGCAGCCGCGGUAAUACGAAGGGUGCUAGCGUUGCUCGGAAUUACUGGGCGUAAAGGGCGAGUAGGCGGAUCGUUAAGUCAGAGUUGAAAUCCCAGGGCUCAACCCUGGAACUGCCUUUGAUACUGGCGAUCUGGAGUAUGAGAGAGGUAUGUAGAAGUCCGAGUGUAGAGGUGAAAUUCGUAGAUAUUCGGAAGAACGCCAGUGGCGAAGGCGACAUACUGGCUCAUUACUGACGCUGAGGCGCGAAAGCGUGGGGAGCAAACAGG
rnacentral:rRNA from 1 species